rnacentral:rRNA from 1 species
GACGAACGCUGGCGGCGUGCUUAACACAUGCAAGUCGAACGGAAAGGCCCUGCUUUUGUGGGGUGCUCGAGUGGCGAACGGGUGAGUAACACGUGAGUAACCUGCCCUUGACUUUGGGAUAACUUCAGGAAACUGGGGCUAAUACCGGAUAGGAGCUCCUGCUGCAUGGUGGGGGUUGGAAAGUUUCGGCGGUUGGGGAUGGACUCGCGGCUUAUCAGUUUGUUGGUGGGGUAGUGGCUUACCAAGGCUUUGACGGGUAGCCGGCCUGAGAGGGUGACCGGCCACAUUGGGACUGAGAUACGGCCCAGACUCCUACGGGAGGCAGCAGUGGGGAAUAUUGCACAAUGGGCGGAAGCCUGAUGCAGCAACGCCGCGUGCGGGAUGACGGCCUUCGGGUUGUAAACCGCUUUCGCCUGUGACGAAGCGUGAGUGACGGUAAUGGGUAAAGAAGCACCGGCUAACUACGUGCCAGCAGCCGCGGUGAUACGUAGGGUGCGAGCGUUGUCCGGAUUUAUUGGGCGUAAAGGGCUCGUAGGUGGUUGAUCGCGUCGGAAGUGUAAUCUUGGGGCUUAACCCUGAGCGUGCUUUCGAUACGGGUUGACUUGAGGAAGGUAGGGGAGAAUGGAAUUCCUGGUGGAGCGGUGGAAUGCGCAGAUAUCAGGAGGAACACCAGUGGCGAAGGCGGUUCUCUGGGCCUUUCCUGACGCUGAGGAGCGAAAGCGUGGGGAGCGAACAGGCUUAGAUACCCUGGUAGUCCACGCUGUAAACGGUGGGUACUAGGUGUGGGGUCCAUUCCACGGGUUCCGUGCCGUAGCUAACGCUUUAAGUACCCCGCCUGGGGAGUACGGCCGCAAGGCUAAAACUCAAAGGAAUUGACGGGGCCCCGCACAAGCGGCGGAGCAUGCGGAUUAAUUCGAUGCAACGCGUAGAACCUUACCUGGGUUUGACAUGGAUCGGGAGCGCUCAGAGAUGGGUGUGCCUCUUUUGGGGUCGGUUCACAGGUGGUGCAUGGCUGUCGUCAGCUCGUGUCGUGAGAUGUUGGGUUAAGUCCCGCAACGAGCGCAACCCUUGUUCACUGUUGCCAGCACGUUAUGGUGGGGACUCAGUGGAGACCGCCGGGGUCAACUCGGAGGAAGGUGGGGAUGACGUCAAGUCAUCAUGCCCCUUAUGUCCAGGGCUUCACGCAUGCUACAAUGGCUGGUACAGAGAGUGGCGAGCCUGUGAGGGUGAGCGAAUCUCGGAAAGCCGGUCUCAGUUCGGAUUGGGGUCUGCAACUCGACCUCAUGAAGUCGGAGUCGCUAGUAAUCGCAGAUCAGCAACGCUGCGGUGAAUACGUUCCCGGGGCU